UACGAGUGCCCCGAGCGUUAUCCGGAAUCAUUGGGCGUAAAGGGUGUGUAGGUGGCUGUGCUAGUCAAUUGUUAAAACCCGGGGCUUAACUUCGGAUAUGCGAUUGAAACGGCACAACUAGAGGAUGCGAGGGAUGUAUGGAACUCAUGGAGUAGGGGUGAAAUCCGUUGAUAUCAUGGGGAACACCAAAAGCGAAGGCAGUACAUUGGCGCACUCCUGACACUGAAACACGAAAGCGUGGGUAGCGAAUGGG
rnacentral:rRNA from 1 species